UGUUCUGUGGCUCAGUUGGUUAAAGCGCCGGUCUAGCGAAUGGAGUCGUGGGUUCGCAUCCCACCAGAAUGC
rnacentral:tRNA from 1 species